rnacentral:rRNA from 1 species
GACGAGCGCUGGCGGCGUGCCUAAUACAUGCAAGUUGAGCGCUGAAGGUUGGUACUUGUACCAACUGGAUGAGCAGCGAACGGGUGAGUAACGCGUGGGGAAUCUGCCUUUGAGCGGGGGACAACAUUUGGAAACGAAUGCUAAUACCGCAUAAAAACUUUAAACACAAGUUUUAAGUUUGAAAGAUGCAAUUGCAUCACUCAAAGAUGAUCCCGCGUUGUAUUAGCUAGUUGGUGAGGUAAAGGCUCACCAAGGCGAUGAUACAUAGCCGACCUGAGAGGGUGAUCGGCCACAUUGGGACUGAGACACGGCCCAAACUCCUACGGGAGGCAGCAGUAGGGAAUCUUCGGCAAUGGACGAAAGUCUGACCGAGCAACGCCGCGUGAGUGAAGAAGGUUUUCGGAUCGUAAAACUCUGUUGGUAGAGAAGAACGUUGGUGAGAGCGGAAAGCUCAUCAAGUGACGGUAACUACCCAGAAAGGGACGGCUAACUACGUG